ACUAGGGGAAAACAAAGAUAAGACUUUUUAAACAGCAGGGCACACUUAGGUUUUUUGUUGUUUUUUUUUUAAACUGGAGAAGGAUAUGGCUCUUCCUAGGCAUCACUAAUGGGAUUUACUAGUACUCUUCCAAAGACCAAAGUACCUACAGAGAAACCAUACAGCGGAACACAAGAGAAUGACUGGCACAGAUUACUAAUUGAAGAAGAAAAAUAACAAUUAAAACUCAAGACUAAAGACAUUAUAAUUAAAGCAUCUGAAAAUUA